CCUACGGGAGGCAGCAGUGGGGAAUUUUGGACAAUGGGCGCAAGCCUGAUCCAGCAAUGCCGCGUGAGUGAAGAAGGCCUUCGGGUUGUAAAGCUCUUUUGUCAGGGAAGAAAAGGGAUUGGCUAAUAUCUGGUCCUCAUGGCGGUACCUGAAGAAUAAGCACCGGCUAACUACGUGCCAGCAGCCGCGGUAAUACGUAGGGUGCAAGCGUUAAUCGGAAUUACUGGGCGUAAAGCGUGCGCAGGCGGUUUUGUAAGACUGUCGUGAAAUCCCCGGGCUUAACCUGGGAAUGGCGAUGGUGACUGCAAGGCUAGAGUUUGGCAGAGGGGGGUAGAAUUCCACGUGUAGCAGUGAAAUGCGUAGAUAUGUGGAGGAACACCGAUGGCGAAGGCAGCCCCCUGGGUCAAAACUGACGCUCAUGCACGAAAGCGUGGGGAGCAAACAGGAUUAGACUACCCGUGGUACGUCCGACCGACCCGUAAACCGACGUAGUCUACUACGUUAGGUUCGGGUUCGUUAAUUAGUACGUUGGUAACGUACGAGCUAACGUCGUGAGUAGACCGCCGUCGGGAGGUACGGUCGGUCGAGAGUUAAACGUUAAAGUAAAGUUAGUUACGGCGUUGAGACGNGCGACGGACGACGACGAGGGAGGAGG
rnacentral:rRNA from 1 species